rnacentral:rRNA from 1 species
UACGGGGGGGGCAAGCGUUGUUCGGAAUUACUGGGCGUAAAGGGCUCGUAGGCGGCCAACUAAGUCAGACGUGAAAUCCCUCGGCUUAACCGGGGAACUGCGUCUGAUACUGGAUGGCUAGAGGUUGGGAGAGGGAUGCGGAAUUCCAGGUGUAGCGGUGAAAUGCGCAGAGAUCAGGAGGAACACCCGUAGCGAAGGCGGCACUCUGGGCCGAUACUGACGCUGAGGAGCGAAAGCGUGGGGAGCGAACAGG